rnacentral:lncRNA from 1 species
GAAGACCACGCGAAGUGAGAGGGGUUUAAAACAUUCAGUUUGAACAACUGUAAGUUUGUGGAUGAAUCUUCUUCGGACGACAAUAUGUACGAACCUAUUCUGCAAAGAAAAAGACGACUUUUCUUCUUCGCCAGCAUCUUCUCGCCCCUCCCCUUUACUCAUUUUUAAAAAUUUCAGAACUAACCUACUGUAGAAGUAGCAGACAAGGCGGGGUUGUAGUUUUAGGAAAAGAUUACAUAUUGAUUACUCGGUCUCUUUUCUUUUGUCAGAUCCACCGUCGACAAUCACUGGCCGAAAUCCGGUCACCACUGUUUCAACCUCCAUCUGCUCACUAAUUCAUCUCCUCCUCUAGCGACUUCAACCAUGGCCCAACCAUAUCUCUUAGCUCUUAUGUCCAUUUUUUUUGUAGUUUCCUUUACCAGGAGUGAUAGAGAAGUGAUCGAAUUCAACUGGAAGUAAUUUUUUGGCAAUAUGAUACGAAUUAAAAAUAAAGUAGCUGUAGGAAGUAGUACUCUAGGUUAUUGGAAGUGUACAUGAGAGUUGAGCUUAGUUAUUUAUCUAUAACUUAUUAUAUUUUAUAUUUGAAUCCUAUAAGUAAAUUUUACUUCCUUUAUAUGUGCGGAAUUUGCCAUAUUUAGAGGCUAUGAAUGAAAAAACUUUUUUUCUUAUUGUACUAUUUUCUUCUCUUGUUAGCUUAGCUUUUAGUUAGAUUCUUCUUCCUCUAAAAUUCUAUAUUAGUA